GCGGUGGUAGUGUAGUGGUUAAGGAGCUGGGCUAACAACCCUGUAAGUCGUGGGUUCAAUUCCCAGCUUCCAUCGUA
rnacentral:tRNA from 1 species